rfam:Oryza punctata chromosome 6, whole genome shotgun sequence.
CGUCCCAGAAGUUUUGCGUUUUUAUGUCUAAUGUUUAACUGUUCCUCUUAUUUGAAAAUAAUUUAUGAUUGAUAUUUUUAUUGUUAUUAGAUGAUAAAACAUGAAUGGUAUUUUAAGCGUGAUUAUUUUGUGUUAAUUUUUUUAUAAAGUUUUCAAAUAAGAUGAACAGUCAAACGUUAGCCACGGAAACCUACGACUACACUUUAA